rnacentral:rRNA from 1 species
UACGUAGGGGUCUAGCGUUGUCCGGAAUUAUUGGGCGUAAAGAGCUCGUAGGCGGUUUGUCGCGUCUGCCGUGAAAGUCCGGGGCUCAACUCCGGAUCUGCGGUGGGUACGGGCAGACUAGAGUGAUGUAGGGGAGACUGGAAUUCCUGGUGUAGCGGUGAAAUGCGCAGAUAUCAGGAGGAACACCGAUGGCGAAGGCAGGUCUCUGGGCAUUAACUGACGCUGAGGAGCGAAAGCAUGGGGAGCGAACAGG